UGAGGAAUUUUCUGCAAUGGGCGAAAGCCUGACAGAGCAAUACCGCGUGAGGGAUGAAGGCCUAUGGGUUGUAAACCUCUUUUCUCAAGGAGGAAGAUAUGACGUUACUUGAGGAAUAAGCAUCGGCUAACCCUGUGCCAGCAGCCGCGGUAAUACAGGGGAUGCAAGUGUUAUCCGGAAUCAUUGGGCGUAAAGCGUCUGCAGGUUGACUUUUAAGUCUUUUGUUAAAGCUCUGGGCUUAACCUAGAAUAUGCAAAGGAAACUAUUUGUCUUGAGUAUGGUAGAGGUAAAGGGAAUUUCCAGUGGAGCGGUGAAAUGCUUAGAUAUUGGAAAGAACACCAACAGCGAAGGCACUUUACUGGGCCAGUACUGACACUGAGAGACGAAAGCUAGGGGAGCAAACGGGAUUAGAU
rnacentral:rRNA from 1 species